AGUGAACGCUGGCGGUAGGCCUAACACAUGCAAGUCGAACGGCAGCGCAGUAAGAGCUUGCUCUUACGGGUGGCGAGUGGCGGACGGGUGAGGAAUACAUCGGAAUCUACUUUUUCGUGGGGGAUAACGUAGGGAAACUUACGCUAAUACCGCAUACGACCUACGGGUGAAAGCAGGGGAUCUUCGGACCUUGCGCGAUUGAAUGAGCCGAUGUCGGAUUAGCUAGUUGGCGGGGUAAAGGCCCACCAAGGCGACGAUCCGUAGCUGGUCUGAGAGGAUGAUCAGCCACACUGGAACUGAGACACGGUCCAGACUCCUACGGGAGGCAGCAGUGGGGAAUAUUGGACAAUGGGCGCAAGCCUGAUCCAGCCAUACCGCGUGGGUGAAGAAGGCCUUCGGGUUGUAAAGCCCUUUUGUUGGGAAAGAAAAGCAGCAGGUUAAUACCCCGCUGUUCUGGCGGUACCCAAAGAAUAAGCACCGGCUAACUUCGUG
rnacentral:rRNA from 1 species